rnacentral:rRNA from 1 species
AGUGAACGCUGGCGGCAGGCCUAACACAUGCAAGUCGAGCGGCAGCGCGGGGGCAACCCUGGCGGCGAGCGGCGGACGGGUGAGGAAUUCGUCGGAAUCUGCCUUUUUGUGGGGGAUAACGUAGGGAAACUUACGCUAAUACCGCAUACGUCCUACGGGAGAAAGGGGGGGACCGCAAGGCCUCACGCAGAAAGAUGAGCCGACGACCGAUUAGCAAGUUGGUGGGGUAAAGGCCCACCAAGGCGACGAUCGGUAGCUGGUCUGAGAGGAUGAUCAGCCACACUGGGACUGAGACACGGCCCAGACUCCUACGGGAGGCAGCAGUGGGGAAUAUUGGACAAUGGGCGCAAGCCUGAUCCAGCCAUGCCGCGUGUGUGAAGAAGGCCUUCGGGUUGUAAAGCACUUUUGUCCGGAAAGAAAUCCCUGGAGCUAAUACCUUCGGGGGAUGACGGUACCGGAAGAAUAAGCACCGGCUAACUUCGUG